GGGUGUGAUCAUACCAGCACUAAUGCACCGGAUCCCAUCAGAACUCCGAAGUUAAACGUGCUUGGGCGAGAGUAGUACUAAGAUGGGUGACCUCUUGGGAAGUCCUAUUGUUGCACCCC
rnacentral:rRNA from 1 species